UACGAAGGGGGGCUAGCGUUGCUCGGAAUCACUGGGCGUAAAGGGCGCGUAGGCGGAUCUUUUAAGUCGGGGGUGAAAGCCCAGGGCUCAACCCUGGAAUUGCCUUCGAUACUGAAGAUCUCGAGACCGGAAGAGGUAAGUGGAACUGCGAGUGUAGAGGUGAAAUUCGUAGAUAUUCGCAAGAACACCAGUGGCGAAAGGCGGCUUACUGGUCCGGUUCUGACGCUGAGGCGCGAAAGCGUGGGGAGCAAACAGGG
rnacentral:rRNA from 1 species